rnacentral:tRNA from 9 species
GGUCCUGUAGCUCAGUCGGUUAGAGCAGUGAACUCAUAAUUCAUUGGUCGUUGGUUCAAACCCAACCAGGAUCACCA